GCAUAUCAAUAAGCGGAGGGA
rnacentral:rRNA from 1 species